AAUAAGGAAAGGUAGAAAGAUAUUAGAUUUAUUGAUGUGAUAAUCUUAUGUCAAACACAAGAGAUGGGCUUACAUCUGGAGCAGAAAUGAAUCGUAAGUGGAGGAGUAAAGAGAGGGAAAGGUGAAGUCUAUGUUGAUUUACUAGAGAUCACUCUUUUCUCUUCUUGUUUUCUCUAUUUCCUCUCAUUUUUCUAUUGUUC
rnacentral:lncRNA from 1 species